UUCUAUUUCCCCUCCUCAGGCCUUCACCUGCCUCUUCUGGACAGGGGAUUUUUUCUUUCAGACCAUCCCUAAAUGGUGGGGAUUCAGGCCACACAAGAGUCCUCACCCCCAACAAUUCAGGUCAGAGGGAAAGCAGAACCCCACUAGAGAGUCUUCCUGGUUUCCAGCUACCAGUUCAGCAGACUCUCUACGAACAGAGACAGAUGGGACUAGCCAGGUCAAGAGAAGCAUGGACUACUUCCAGAUGAAGGUUCUUCAAGGUCUGAUCUAUACAUAUUGCAUUAAGGAAGGCCUAGAGCAUCCAAUACCCAUUAAGAGCGAUGGCCUUGGAAAAUGUUUCCCUGCCUUGUUUCCUGGUUUCACUUUGUACCCUUACCUCUCUUGACCUUUACCAUAUACACCCUGUAUUACCUCCUAGAAAAACGGUCAGGCAUUAUAUAAGGCUAGUACUUCAGGAAGAUGUUUAGAUCUCUCCCACACUCAUGAAGCUCUCGUUUCCUGCACAGUAAAGGUUUUAAAAACAAUUCUUGGCAUCACUGAGGGUGAGAGGUAAUAUACUCAUGAAGUGUGGUUCGUUUCCAUAUUUCACUCUUUUAGCUUUGGUUAUAUUCUUCCAUUGCCAAUGUUAAUAAGCAACAACUCUGUUCCUUGUCCUCGCUUAUUAUACUUCUGUUUGCCUAUUGUUUCCUCUAUGCCUACUUAACUAUGCUGAUUUUUCUUUCUGUCGGAGAACAGUUGGAGACCCAGACUUUCAGCUUACUAAAGUAUAUGGAUAAAAUAAAGACGUCCUUUUAUGGUUAUUGCA
rnacentral:lncRNA from 1 species